rnacentral:misc_RNA from 1 species
CAGAGUUGCAAAACUCCCAAACCACUGUGAACAUACCUGAGACGUUGCUUCGGUAGGCGGCUCCAGGGGGAGCCAUAUGCCUUUUAGGUGCCCGCCGGAGGACAUAAACCCUUCUGUAUUUUAGUGGCCUCUCUGAGAAAAAACAUAAUAAGUCA